GAUGAAGAACGUAGCAAAAUGCGAUACUUGGUGUGAAUUGCAGAAUCCCGUGAACCAUCGAGUUUUUGAACGCAAGUUGCGCCCGAAGCCUUUUGGCCGAGGGCACGUCUGCCUGGGCGUCACGCAUCGCGUCGCCCCCCACAAUUCUCCGUAAAGGGAACGUGUGUUUUGGGGGCGGAUAUCGGUCUCCCGUGCUCAUGGCGUGGUUGGCCGAAAUAGGAGUCCUUUCGAUGGACGCACGAACUAGUGGUGGUCGUAAAAACCCUCGUCUUUUGUUUCGUGCUGUUGCUCGCAAGGUAAACUCUUUAAAAACCCCAAUGUGUCGUCUCUUGACGACGCUUCGACCGCGACCCCAGGUCAGGCGGGACUACCCGCUGAGUUUAAGCAUAUCAAUAAGCGGAGGA
rnacentral:misc_RNA from 1 species